UUUCUGUGUUGGUGUAAUGUACUCAGGUGAAUAUGAUGCUUGUGAUGUUAACAUCACAAGCAUCAUAUUCACCUGAGUACAUUACACCAACA